UACGGAGGGUGCAAGCGUUAUCCGGAUUCACCGGGUUUAAAGGGUGCGUAGGUGGGCAGGUAAGUCAGUGGUGAAAUCUUCGAGCUUAACUCGGAAACUGCCGUUGAUACUAUCUGUCUUGAAUGUUGUGGAGGUGAGCGGAAUAUGUCAUGUAGCGGUGAAAUGCUUAGAUAUGACAUAGAACACCCAUUGCGAAGGCAGCUCACUACACAAUGAUUGACACUGAGGCACGAAAGCGUGGGGAUCAAAC
rnacentral:rRNA from 1 species